UCCGAAUUAGUUUAGUGGCUAUGACGGCGCCUUGUCAUCUACGGAUGCUCACAAAGUUCUCCGCGCAGGUAAUACGGCGCAGACCCGGGUUCAAUUCCCGGAUUCGGAG
rfam:Sporisorium reilianum SRZ2 chromosome 9 complete DNA sequence